UACGUAGGGAGCAAGCGUUGUCCGGAAUCAUUGGGCGUAAAGUGCGCGUAGGUGGCUUCGUAAGUCCGUUGUGAAAGUCAAAGGCUCAACCUUUGAAAGCCGAUGGAUACUGCGGAGCUAGAGUACGGAAGAGGCGAGUGGAAUUCCUGGUGUAGCGGUGGAAUGCGCAGAUAUCAGGAGGAACACCAAUAGCGAAGGCAGCUCCGCUGGGA
rnacentral:rRNA from 1 species